GACGAACGCUGGCGGCGUGCUUAACACAUGCAAGUCGAACGAAGAGCGAUGGAAGCUUGCUUCUAUCAAUCUUAGUGGCGAACGGGUGAGUAACGCGUAAUCAACCUGCCCUUCAGAGGGGGACAACAGUUGGAAACGACUGCUAAUACCGCAUACGAUCUAAUCUCGGCAUCGAGGAUAGAUGAAAGGUGGCCUCUACAUGUAAGCUAUCACUGAAGGAGGGGAUUGCGUCUGAUUAGCUAGUUGGAGGGGUAACGGCCCAACAAGGCGAUGAUCAGUAGCCGGUCUGAGAGGAUGAACGGCCACAUUGGGACUGAGACACGGCCCAGACUCCUACGGGAGGCAGCAGUGGGGAAUCUUCCGCAAUGGACGAAAGUCUGACGGAGCAACGCCGCGGGAGUGAUGACGGCCUUCGGGUUGUAAAGCUCUGUUAAUCGGGACGAAAGGCCUUCUUGCGAACAGUUAGAAGGAUUGACGGUACCGGAAUAGAAAGCCACGGCUAACUACGUG
rnacentral:rRNA from 1 species